rnacentral:Y_RNA from 1 species
GGCUGGUCAAAAGGUAGUGAAUUCUCGCAAUUGAUUAUUCACAGUCAGUUACAGAUUGAACUCUUUGUUCUCCUCUCUCACCCCUUCUUGCUACUGCGCUUGACUAGUCUUAA